GACGAACGCUGGCGGCGUGCUUAACACAUGCAAGUCGAACGGAGCGGCGGACGGGUGAGUAAUGCCUAGGAAUCUGCCUGGUAGUGGGGGAUCACGUCCGGAAACGGGCGCUAAUACCGCAUACUAUCAGAUGAGCCUAGGUCGGUGUAGCUAGUUGGUGGGGUAAAGGCCUACCAAGGCGACGAUCCGUAACUGGCCUGAGAGGAUGAUCAGUCACACGGGAACUGAGACACGGUCCAGACUCUUACGGGAGGCAGCAGGGGGUAAUAUUGGACAAUGGGCGAAAGCCUGAUCCAGCCAUGCCGCGUGUGUGAAGAAGGUCUUCGGAUUGUAAAGCACUUUAAGUUGGGAGGCGUUACCAACAGAAUAAGCACCGGCUAACUUCGUGCCAGCAGCCGCGGUAAUUC
rnacentral:rRNA from 1 species